GGAGGUAGAGCACUGUUUGGACGAGGGGCCCCUCUCGGGUUACCGAAUUCAGACAAACUCCGAAUGCCAAUUAAUUUAACUUGGGAGUCAGAACAUGGGUGAUAAGGUCCGUGUUCGAAAGGGAAACAGCCCAGACCACCAGCUAAGGUCCCAAAAUAUAUGUUAAGUGGAAAAGGAUGUGGCGUUGCCCAGACAACUAGGAUGUUGGCUUAGAAGCAGCCAUCAUUUAAAGAGUGCGUAAUAGCUCACUAGUCGAGUGACA
rnacentral:rRNA from 1 species